rnacentral:rRNA from 1 species
GACGAACGCUGGCGGCGUGCUUAACACAUGCAAGUCGAACGGAAAGGCCCUGCUUUUGUGGGGUGCUCGAGUGGCGAACGGGUGAGUAACAAGUGAGUAACCUGCCCUUGACUUUGGGAUAACUUCAGGAAACUCGGGCUAAUACCGGAUAGGAGCUCCUGCUGCAUGGUGGGGGUUGGAAAGUUUCGGCGGUUGGGGAUGGACUCGCGGCUUAUCAGCUUGUUGGUGGGGUAGUGGCUUACCAAGGCUUUGACGGGUAGCCGGCCUGAGAGGGUGACCGGCCACAUUGGGACUGAGAUACGGCCCAGACUCCUACGGGAGGCAGCAGUGGGGAAUAUUGCACAAUGGGCGGAAGCCUGAUGCAGCAACGCCGCGUGCGGGAUGACGGCCUUCGGGUUGUAAACCGCUUUCGCCUGUGACGAAGCGUGAGUGACGGUAAUGGGUAAAGAAGCACCGGCUAACUACGUG